UAAUACAGAGGGUGCGAGCGUUAAUCGGAAUUACUGGGCGUAAAGCGUGCGUAGGCGGUUGAAUAAGUUGGGUGUGAAAGCCCCGGGCUUAACCUGGGAACAGCACUCAAGACUGUUUAACUAGAGUCUGGGAGAGGGUGGUGGAAUUUCCUGUGUAGCGGUGAAAUGCGUAGAUAUAGGAAGGAACAUCAGUGGCGAAGGCGACUGCCUGGCCCCAAGACUGACGCUGAGGUACGAAAGCGUGGGGAGCAAACAGGAUUAGAUACCCUGGUAGUCCACGCCGUAAACGAUGUCAACUAGCCGCUGGACGCUUUAUAGUGUUUGGUGGCGAAGCUAACGCGAUAAGUUGACCGCCUGGGAAGUACGGCCGCAAGGUUGAAACUCAAAUGAAUUGACGGGGGCCCGCACAAGCGGUGGAGCAUGUGGUUUAAUUCGAUGCAACGCGAAGAACCUUACCUACUCUUGACAUCCUGGGAACUUGGCAGAGAUGCCUUGGUGCCUUCGGGAACCCAGAGACA
rnacentral:rRNA from 1 species